UACGUAGGGGGCAAGCGUUGUCCGGAAUCAUUGGGCGUAAAGAGCGCGUAGGCGGUCCGGUAAGUCCGCUCUGAAAGCCCGGGGCUCAACCCCGGGAGGCGGGCGGAUACUGUCGGGCUAGAGUCCGGAAGAGGCGAGUGGAAUUCCUGGUGUAGCGGUGAAAUGCGCAGAUAUCAGGAAGAACACCGAUGGCGAAGGCAGUUCUCUGGGCCGUAACUGACGCUGAGGAGCGAAAGCGUGGGGAGCGAACAGG
rnacentral:rRNA from 1 species